rnacentral:lncRNA from 1 species
CUUUUCUAUCUUCUUUUAAAUCUGCCCAUAGCCUCUGCCCAAUUAUGUUUUAAGCAAUUUUUUUUUUUUUUUGACACAGAGUCUCACAUCUGUCGCCCAGGCUGGAGUGCAGUGGCGCAAAACCUCAGCUCACUGCAAGCUCCGCCUCCCAAGUUCAUGCCAUUCUCCCACCUCAGCCUCUUCAGUAGCUGAGGCAGGAGAAUCGCUUGUACCCAGGGGAGUGGAGGAUGCAGCAAGCUGAGAUCACGGUACUGCACUCCAGCCUGGGUGACAGAGUCAGAUUCUGUCUCAAAAAAAACAAAUAAAGAAAAUAAGUUUUAAUUUCCAAAUAUUUGGCAUUUCUUGCCAAGCAAAUGAAAUCCAGCAAUCCUAUUUAAUUAACAAGUGCUUUUACUGCGAAAUUUUUCUCAAUGCCUAUAAUAAAUAAGCACUUUCACAAUUCAAUCAACAACUCAAAAAAGUUUGAAGGCCCAAUGCCAAAUGUAGUCCUUUAACAGAAUCAAGAGACAUUAUGAUGGUUCAAAGGCAAAUUAAUUGAAAAGAAGAAAAAAAGCAUCUCAUUUUUGGAAAUAGCAAACUUCUAAUUUGAAUGAUGUUUAAAGUAUGCAAGUUAGAGGCCAGGCACAGUGACUAAGUGUUAUCACAAAAGAGUCAAGAGACUGGGCAUGGUGGCUCACAACUGUAAUCCUAGCACUUUGGGAGGCUGAGGCGGGAGGAUCACAUGAGCUCAGAAGUUCGAGACCAGCCUGGGAAACAUAGUGACACAACCUCUCUACAAAAAUUAAAUAAAAUUAGCUGGACGUGGUAGCACAUGCCUGUAGUCCCAGCUACUCUGGUGGCUGAGGUGGGAAGAUCGUUUAAGCCCAGCAGAUCACGGCAGUAAGCCAUCAUCAUGCCACUGCACUCCAACUUGGGCAACAGAGUAAGACUCUGUCUCAAAAAAAUUAAAAAAAGAAAACUUUUUAAAGAGCCAAGUUUCUUUUUUAAGUUUAUAAAGGCCAGGUACAGUGGCUGAUGACUGUAAGCCCAGCAUUUGGGGAGGAAAGGACUGGCAGACUGCUUAAGCCCAGCAGUUUGAGACCAGCCUGGGCAACAUAUUGAAAAUUGACUCUACAAAAAAUAAAAAAAAAAAAAAUAGGCCAGGUGCAGUGGCUCAUGCCUGUAAUCCCAACACUUUGGGAGGCCGAGGCAGGCAGAUCACUUGAGGUCAGGAAUUUGAGACCAACCUGGCCAACAUGGUGAAACCCCAUCUCUACUAAAAAUACAAAAAUUAGCCAGGCGUGGUGGCACGUGCCUGUAAUCCCAGCUACUCAGGAGGAUGACACACAAGAAUUGCUUGAACCCAGGAGGUGGAAGUUGCAGUGAGCCGAGAUCACACCACUGCACUCCAGCCUGGGCGACACAGCGAGACUCUGCCUCAAAAAAUAUAAUUAAUAAUAAAAUAAAAUAAAUAAUUAGCCAGGCAUGGUGGCACACAUACAUAGUCCCAGCUAUUCAGAAGGCUGAGGUAGGAGAAUUGCUUGACCCAGGAGUUAAGGCUGCAGUGAGCUAUGACUGAGCCACUGCACUCCAGCCU